GCUUAACGCGAAGAACCUUACCUGGGCUAGAAAGCGUAAGAACCUUGGUGAAAACUGAGGGUGCCCUUCGGGGAACGUUACGAUUAGGUGCUGCAUGGCUGUCGUCAGCUCGUGUCGUGAGAUGUUGGGUUAAGUCCCGCAACGAGCGCAACCCUUGUUGUUAGUUGCCAGCAUUAAGUUGGGCACUCUAACAAGACUGCCGACCUUUAAGUCGGAGGAAGGUGGGGAUGACGUCAAGUCCUCAUGGCCCUUACGUCCAGGGCUACACACGUGCUACAAUGACCGGUACAAAGGGUUGCCAAACCGCGAGGUGAGCCAAUCCCAAAAAGCCGGCCUCAGUACGGAUAAGAGUCUGCAACUCGACUCUUUGAAGGCGGAAUCGCUAGUAAUCCCUGAUCAGCAUAGCAGGGGUGAAUACGUUCCCGGGUCUUGUACACACCGGGGUCUUGUACACACCGGGUCUUGUACACACCG
rnacentral:rRNA from 1 species